GUGCCAGCAGCCGCGGUAAUACGUAGGGUCCAAGCGUUAUCCGGAAUCACUGGGCGUAAAGCGUGCGUAGGCGGGAGUUCAAGUGAGUUAUGAAACCGUGUGGCUCAACCAUAUCGUUGUGACUCAUACUGGACACCUAGAGGACGGCAGAGGCAAGUGGAACUCGUAGUGUAGCAGUGAAAUGCGUAGAUAUUACGAAGAACACCAAUGGCGAAGGCAGCUUGCUGGGCCGACCCUGACGCUGAGGUACGAAAGCGUGGGGAGCGAACAGGAUUAGAUACGCUUGUAGUCC
rnacentral:rRNA from 1 species